rnacentral:rRNA from 1 species
CAAGUCGAGCGGCAGCGCGGGGCAACCUGGCGGCGAGCGGCGAACGGGUGAGUAAUGCAUCGGAACGUGUCCAUGUCGUGGGGGAUAGCCCGGCGAAAGCCGGAUUAAUACCGCAUACGCCCGAGAGGGGAAAGUGGGGGACCGCAAGGCCUCACGCGAUUGGAUCGGCCGAUGUCCGAUUAGCUAGUUGGCGGGGUAAAGGCCCACCAAGGCGAUGAUCGGUAGCUGGUCUGAGAGGAUGAUCAGCCACACUGGGACUGAGACACGGCCCAGACUCCUACGGGAGGCAGCAGUGGGGAAUUUUGGACAAUGGGGGCAACCCUGAUCCAGCCAUUCCGCGUGAGUGAAGAAGGCCUUCGGGUUGUAAAGCUCUUUUGUCCGGAACGAAACGGGUAACGUGAAUAUCGUUGCCUACUGACGGUACCGGAAGAAUAAGCACCGGCUAACUACGUGCCAGCAGCCGCGGUAAUACGUAGGGUGCGAGCGUUAAUCGGAAUUACUGGGCGUAAAGCGUGCGCAGGCGGUUUUGUAAGCCGGAUGUGAAAUCCCCGGGCUUAACCUGGGAAUGGCAUUCGGGACUGCAAGGCUGGAGUGCGGCAGAGGAGACUGGAAUUCCUGGUGUAGCAGUGAAAUGCGUAGAUAUCAGGAGGAACACCGAUGGCGAAGGCAGGUCUCUGGGCUGACACUGACGCUCAUGCACGAAAGCGUGGGGAGCAAACAGGAUUAGAUACCCUGGUAGUCCACGCCCUAAACGAUGUCGACUGGUUGUUGGGGGUUUGACACUCUCAGUAACGAAGCUAACGCGUGAAGUC